rnacentral:lncRNA from 1 species
UCAAAAUAUGUCACAUGACGUUUUUUCAUUUGCCAAAGUUGCGUAAUAAUUUUUUUUAAUGUCCAUUACAAAAUGAAUUAAAAAUAAAAAAAAUUAAUACUUUAUGUAUUAAAUUAAAAUAAAAAAAUUUAAGUACCAAAAUAAAAUAAAAAUUGAGUAUACUUCAUAGACUAAAUCAUAACAUAACCCUUUUUAAAAAUCCCCAUGUCAAAAUUAAUGAACAAAUUUAAAAAAAUACGAGGUUGGUGGUCGGUGGGAGAAGCGUGUGCCGUGUGCCUCCCCAGCUCACCUCCC